CUGCAGCUCGAGGUUUUGUAAAACGCGCAGUCAGCGCCUGAGUAGUUCCAGCCCCUCACCGUAACGUCACCGCCAUCGGCGACGCUGUGAGGUGUUCCAGGAGUGAAACUUCUUCUGUUGCUAUAUGCUGUGUCAGCACUGGGAGGCUCCACUGAUUCUCUGUGCUGAUGUAAGUGAAGCAGCAGAAACUGUUUACAGAGAGAAGACUACAAAAAUGCUAUGAAAGUGCUACAAGUGGAUGGGAUGUGUCAUGAAACACAAGGGCAUUUGUUGUGACGAUCGGAGUUGCUUUACUAGUUACAGCAAAAGUACCUCAUCCUCCUGGAAAGCACUCCAUAUUUCAAAUUACAAAGUCAACUUCGGGGUAGACCUGAGAAGUGUGUAGGCAAGUUUUGAUUUAAAGUUGUGUCUGCUUUCUCUCUCUCUACCUCUCUGGUAUAUUUUUCAUUUGGAAAGUAGCUGUCAUUGCUGUAUAUCAAGAUGCAUUGCAUAGACAGGGAAACAUUGUUCAUACAGAAAAUCAUUGGGAUUGACAGUUAUGUAGUUACAGAACUGUGUCUAUUCUGCCACAUCUGAAAAUAAGAGCACUUCAGUGCCAAAUUUAAGGCACUAUGUCUAGUGAUUCUAACAUGUGCAACCCAGUAUACAAAAUGGAAAAACUGGAUUGGAACUGUUAGUUGAUGAUAUAAUGCUCUGAGGUACACUAUUCGCUUCUGUAGGAUGUCUUCUUGGUUUGUACUUUCCAGGAACGAGAGAGAAUGAGAUUAACAUUCUUUAGGCCAAAUCUCUGACACAGAAAGCAUGGGAGGCUGAAACAGCCGUAAGCAAAAGGUCUGCAUUAAACUGAGAAAGAGAAAAUAGUUUCCUGUUAGAGAUGUGUAUGAAAUCUCACCUUAUCUCAGUAGCACAGAUAUACACCAUUUAUAGCAGAGUAAGGGAACCGAAUAAAGCUUAAAAAUAUUUUUGCUCUCAGAAGAACCCUCACUGUUAGUCACAACAACAUUUCUAGCAUACAUAUUUCUCAAAGAUAGUUCCAGGCUUUCAAAUUGAUAUCCUGCAUCUUUCUUACUGAGAAAGGGCAAUAAAAUAAACCUAUACAGUGUUUUCAUCAUUCCUUAAAACAAAGAAUUUUACAUCUUUCAGAAGUUCUUUCUGUGCUAUGUAUCAAGUGAUGCUUUAAAAAUUUUUCUUUUAAUCAUCAUAACAUUUAAUCCCUUGUUCUCCAGAGUUUCAUGCCAUUUUUGCUUCAUGCCUCCAACACUGAUGUGAUGGAGUUAAGAGUUUAAACAAACAUUUAUUGUUAAGAUUUGGACUUCAGCAUUAUGAUAGGACUAUGAACUGCUCUCGGAUCUUCAAACCAGAAACUUUUGUUUGAGUACAAGGAUUGUUUGUACGUGUUUGUACAAACACGUUGUGUGUAUUACCACUGUCUGUACAUGGUAGCAACAUUAAAUGCUUCACUAUUGAAAAGGAAGAAAUUAUAUUUUACAGAUAUAUUUCCAUAUGGUGUGUUCUUCUGAACACUAAGUUGAACAUGAGCCAGCAAUAUGCCCUUGCUGCAAAAUAGGCUAGAAGUAUCCUGGACAAUAUUAGGGAGUCAGCCAGUCAAAGGAGGUAACUGCUCAGCCCUGGUGAAACCAUCCCUGGAUUAUUGUGUCCAGUUCUGUGUUCCCUAAGUGAGAGACCUGAACAUACUGGAGGGAGUCCAUUGUAAGGCCACAAAAAUGAAUAAUGGACAGGAGCAUCUCUGCUAUGAGAAAAGGCUGAGAGUAGAGACUAUUUUACUUAAAGAAGGCUCAAGAUAGGUCUUGUCAUUGAAUAUGAAUACCUGGAAGGAAUGUGAAAAUAAUACAAGGUCUAUGCAGGCAAGAGGCAAUGGGUACAAACUGAAACACAGGAGAUUCAUCUGAACAUCACUGGGAGGGUGACUGAGAAUUGACAGAGGUUUCCCAUUGAGGUUAUGGAGUCUCCAUCCUUGGAGAUUUUCAAAACCCACCUGGCAUGGGCCUGGACAAGCUGCUCUGGGUAGGCUUGUUUGCAUAGGUUUUGGAUCAGAUGACCUCCACAAGUUCCUUCCAACCUCAACCAUCCUGUGAUUCUGUAACUGGUUAUCAUCUACGUAAUGUUACUUGCUUAGAAUACAGUACUGUAUUUUCAGCUUAUGUCCUUUUAGGACCUUAUUUGUACUUCCUUUUUAUGAAUUUGCACAAGUUUUAGAAGUUGACUUCACUUCUGUGGCCUGUACACUAAAGGCACAAAUCUUUGAAAAGAGAGAAUGCCCCAGAUUUUGUGUGUAAGACUGAGCUAAAACUGUGUUUUUUGAUACUUACUGUAAUAUCACAUAGUGGUAUUUUUUAAAUCAGGGACAACUGUGUUUUUUUGCAAAGUCUUCAGUCCGUAGGAGUAAUUCAUUAAUUUCAGAUUAGCUCAUAUGAUAUUGGGGUUCUGAGAAUGUGUUCUAAAUAUCAUUAAAUGUUUAUUUGUAUAAAUACAAACAUACAAGAUUUUACAUAUUCACCAAUUACUGAUGGAAUUAUUGUCAUAUAUCUAGAAUUCAGGUCUUGUCUAAGUUCUCAGCCCUAAAUAUUCAUGUUAGUUCAAAGAUUUAUUUUAGCAUGGGAUUUCAUGCUUUUUUGCCAUA